AGCGAACGCUAGCGGCGGGCCUAACACAUGCAAGUCGAGCGGAGAACUUCGGUUCUUAGCGGCGGACGGGUGAGUAACGCGUAGGUAAUGUGCCUUCUGGUGGGGAACAACCGUGCGAAAGCAUGGCUAAUACCGCAUAUGUCGAGAGAUGAAAGCCUUCGGGCGCCAGUAGAGCAGCCUGCGUCCCAUUAUUUAGUCCUAGUUGGUGAGGUAACGGCUCACCAAGGGUACGAUGGGUAGCUGGUCUGAGAGGAUGAUCAGCCACACUGGAACUGAGACACGGUCCAGACUCCUACGGGAGGCAGCAGUGGGGAAUAUUGCGCAAUGGGCGAAAGCCUGACGCAGCCACGCCGCGUGAGUGAUGAAGGCCUUCGGGUAGUAAGACUCUGUCGGAGGGAAGAAGGCGCAAGCCUGACGGUACCUCGCAAGAAAGACACCGGCUAACUCUGUGCCAGCAGCCGCGGUAAGUACAGUGU
rnacentral:rRNA from 1 species